rnacentral:precursor_RNA from 14 species
UGUAAGUUUCCAGAAAGACAAUUCUUGAUUUGAGGUGAGCACGUACCUCCCUAGUAAUAGACAGUGUGCUAGUGAGAUACUGCUCAUCUCAGAUCAAGGUCAAGCCUUUCGAACUUUUUCCAA